AUUGAACGCUGGCGGCAGGCCUAACACAUGCAAGUCGAGCGGAUGAAGGGAGCUUGCUCCUGGAUUCAGCGGCGGACGGGUGAGUAAUGCCUAGGAAUCUGCCUGGUAGUGGGGGAUAACGUCCGGAAACGGGCGCUAAUACCGCAUACGUCCUGAGGGAGAAAGUGGGGGAUCUUCGGACCUCACGCUAUCAGAUGAGCCUAGGUCGGAUUAGCUAGUUGGUGGGGUAAAGGCCUACCAAGGCGACGAUCCGUAGCUGGUCUGAGAGGAUGAUCAGCCACACUGGAACUGAGACACGGUCCAGACUCCUACGGGAGGCAGCAGUGGGGAAUAUUGGACAAUGGGCGAAAGCCUGAUCCAGCCAUGCCGCGUGGGUGAAGAAGGUCUUCGGGUUGUAAAGCACUUUAGGUGGGAAGGAAGGGCAGUAAGUUAAUACCUUGCUGUUUUGACGGUACCAAAAGAAUAAGCACCGGCUAACUUCGUG
rnacentral:rRNA from 1 species